GUUCAAUAACUGCAGUAUCGCCGUGUACAGUUGCGAUAGAUUUGCACAGACACUUCCGAUUGGUAUGUGAAAAUCCACGCUUCUGUAAGCGGCGAUAUGCAUUCUAGUGCU
rnacentral:pre_miRNA from 14 species